rnacentral:snRNA from 1 species
GUCUUGAUUCGGCAAAACAUAUACUAAAAUUGAAACGAAACAGAGAAGAUUAGCAUGGCCCCUGCGCAAGGAUGACACGCACAAUCGCGUUCGCGUUCCACAUUUUU